rnacentral:misc_RNA from 1 species
UACGUAGGGUCCAAGCGUUAUCCGGAAUCAUUGGGCGUAAAGAGCUCGUAGGCGGUUCAGCAAGUCGGCUGUGAAAGUCCGAGGCUCAACCUCGGAAUUGCAGUCGAUACUGCUGCGACUCGAGUCCGGUAGAGGAGAAUGGAAUUCUCGGUGUAGCGGUGAAAUGCGCAGAUAUCGAGAGGAACACCAGUAGCGAAGGCGGUUCUCUGGGCCGUGACCGACGCUGAGGAGCGAAAGCUAGGGGAGCAACAGG